AGUGAACGCUGGCGGUAGGCCUAACACAUGCAAGUCGAACGGCAGCACGGUAAGAGCUUGCUCUUACGGGUGGCGAGUGGCGGACGGGUGAGGAAUACAUCGGAAUCUACUUUUUCGUGGGGGAUAACGUAGGGAAACUUACGCUAAUACCGCAUACGACCUACGGGUGAAAGCAGGGGAUCUUCGGACCUUGCGCGAUUGAAUGAGCCGAUGUCGGAUUAGCUAGUUGGCGGGGUAAAGGCCCACCAAGGCGACGAUCCGUAGCUGGUCUGAGAGGAUGAUCAGCCACACUGGAACUGAGACACGGUCCAGACUCCUACGGGAGGCAGCAGUGGGGAAUAUUGGACAAUGGGCGCAAGCCUGAUCCAGCCAUACCGCGUGGGUGAAGAAGGCCUUCGGGUUGUAAAGCCCUUUUGUUGGGAAAGAAAAGCAGCAGGUUAAUACCCCGCUGUUCUGACGGUACCCAAAGAAUAAGCACCGGCUAACCUCGUG
rnacentral:rRNA from 1 species